rnacentral:rRNA from 1 species
GACGGAGGGGGCAAGCGUUGUUCGGAAUUAUUGGGCGUAAAGGGCUCGUAGGCGGAUCUGAAAGUCUGAUGUGAAAUCUCCACCGCUCACCGGGGAGGGGGCCAUUGGAUACUGCAGAUCUGGAGUUCGGUAGAGGGUCGUGGAAUUUCGGGUGUAGCGGUGGAAUGCGUAGAUAUCCGAAAGAACACCGGUGGCGAAGGCGGCGACCUGGGCCUGAACUGACGCUGAGGAGCGAAAGCUAGGGGAGCAAACGGGAUUGAGAA